rnacentral:rRNA from 1 species
CGUCCGGCUCUGCUCGCGCUGUCUGCAGUCGGACGGGAUCCGUCGGAGAGCUUGCUCGAAGAUGGUGAGAGUGGCGCACGGGUGCGUAACGCGUGAGCAACCUACCUCUAUCAGGGGGAUAGCCUCUCGAAAGAGAGAUUAACACCGCAUAAUAUCACUGCCCGGCAUGGUCGAAUGAUUAAAUAUUUAUAGGAUAGAGAUGGGCUCGCGUGACAUUAGCUAGUUGGUAGGGUAACGGCUUACCAAGGCGACGAUGUCUAGGGGCUCUGAGAGGAGAAUCCCCCACACUGGUACUGAGACACGGACCAGACUCCUACGGGAGGCAGCAGUAAGGAAUAUUGGUCAAUGGGCGGAAGCCUGAACCAGCCAUGCCGCGUGCAGGAUGACUGCCCUAUGGGUUGUAAACUGCUUUUGUCCAGGAAUAAACCUAGAUACGUGUAUCUAGCUGAAUGUACUGGAAGAAUAAGGAUCGGCUAACUCCGUGCCAGCAGCCGCGGUAAUACGGAGGAUCCGAGCGUUAUCCGGAUUUAUUGGGUUUAAAGGGUGCGUAGGCGGCCUAUUAAGUCAGGGGUGAAAUACGGUGGCUCAACCAUCGCAGUGCCUUUGAUACUGAUGGGCUUGAAUCCAUUUGAAGUGGGCGGAAUAAGACAAGUAGCGGUGAAAUGCAUAGAUAUGUCUUAGAACUCCGAUUGCGAAGGCAGCUCACUAAGCUGGUAUUGACGCUGAUGCACGAAAGCGUGGGGAUCGAACAGGAUUAGAUACCCUGGUAGUCCACGCCCUAAACGAUGAUAACUCGAUGUUGGCGAUAGACAGGCCAGCGGUCCCAGCGAAAGCGUUUAAGUUAUCCCACCUGGGGGAGUACGCCCCCGCAG